GGGAAAAUCCAUAAAGCAAAUCUGGCUGUGAAUAUUUUACAAUAUCGGGAUCUUGGCAUAUUAUGCUGAAAUACAAGUUUGAACAGGAAUGUUCGCCUUGUUUGCUCUUUUAGACCUGAAAAUCAAGUGCCAGGACCAUCUACUAGAAAAGAGAGUAAAGGUGCGGUUACAUUUGACAGUGAAACAGUGACGUCAGACUUAACAAGCGGAUUACAAAUUUACAGAACAGGUGCAUGAGAGAAAUACAAUACAAC